CCCCAUCGCAUCGGCGCGCGCAGGCAGUUUCGACUUUCGAGAAAACAAGCACUCCUCUCCCUCCCUUCCUCUCGCAGUCGAGGCGGAGACGAUUUCUAAGCUCAUUAACACCACCGCCAACACGGCCGCCGCCAGCACCACCUGUCCUCUCUGUAACAAUUGCGAAUUCGGCACAAGCCACUGAGGCAAUGAUGACGGCUUGCUAAGCCUCGUUUAUAAGUUAGUGGAUAAGAAGCACGAAAUGAAAAACACGAGGUUUUCAAGUCCAUGGCUCAAGGAUUGCAUGUAACAAGAGCAGGAAUUUGUUUCACCAUUUAGAUUUAUAGCGUGACUGGUUCAGUCUUCUUUGACUGCUCAAUUGAGUUUGUUUCCAAACGGCGAACUAUCUAAUUUUUCAACUUCCACAGAGUUAGAGUCGGGCAGCCCAGAGUCCAUGGAUGUUUUCGCAGAGGGAUCUCCAAUGCUUUUGCAUGUUCCGUACUGGAUGGUGGCUAUGGGACAGUGACGAUGUCAUGAGGGUGAUAUUUCUGGGUGGACUGCAUUUGAACCACUACAGCUAUAUAGUCCUUGCUUGUUGCUGGACUGUAGUGACACCACUACAGCUGUUUCAUCUCGGAAAUAACUUCUGCUGAUGGUAUAAGAUGCAGAAAGCCAGAACUUUUGCUGACACUAAGUUCAUCCGCAUGGCCUUCCAUUAAACAGGUUUCUCGCUUUCGUUUUGAA